GAGGUUUCGUUAUUGUAGAAGGAAAAGAAGUCUAUGGUCUUGUAGUUGCAAAAUUUGAAUAAAUAAUUAUAUGUAGAUAAAGUUAAAAAGGAUGGCUUGUUAGAGUUGAUUGUGAACAUUGGCGCUAGGUGUCGUGAUUGGAUAUUACUCCAUGUCCAAUUGAAGGAUGGCCCAUUCCAGUUGUUCUGUCCUAUUUAGGAGGGUUAUAAAUCCCACUGUAGAGGAAGUUCAAAACGCACGCACGUAAAAUAAUUGUAGCUC
rnacentral:lncRNA from 1 species